GUGGGGAAUCUUGGGCAAUGGGCGCAAGCCUGACCCAGCGACGCCGCGUGGGGGAUGAAGGCCUUCGGGUUGUAAACCCCUGUCAGGGGGGGCGAAAGCCUUCCGGUGAAUAGCCGGGAGGUCUGACAGUACCCCCAAAGGAAGCCCCGGCUAACUCCGUGCCAGCAGCCGCGGUAAUACGGAGGGGGCUAGCGUUAUUCGGAAUUACUGGGCGUAAAGCGCGCGCAGGUGGCGCAGUAAGUGGCUGGUGAAAGCCCUCGGCUCAACCGAGGAACUGCCUGCCAAACUGUUGCGCUUGAGGCCGGGAGGGGGAAGCGGAAUUCCUGGUGUAGCGGUGAUAUGCGUAGAUACCAGGAGGAACACCGGUGGCGAAGGCGGCUUCCUGGACCGGCUCUGACACUCAUGCGCGAAAGCGUGGGGAGCAAACAGGAUUAGAAACCCCAGUAGUCC
rnacentral:rRNA from 1 species